rnacentral:rRNA from 1 species
GGGGGUAUUGCACCUACCGAAGACUAUCAAACUCCGAAUGCCGUCAUCUUAUACUUGGGAGUCAGACUGUGGGUGAUAAGAUUCAUAGUCGAAAGGGCAACAGCCCAGAUCGUCAGCUAAGGUCCCUAAAUGUAAGUUAAGUGGUAAAGGAUGUGGGAUUGCACAGACAACCAGGAUGUUGGCUUAGAAGCAGCCACUCAUUCAAAGAGUGCGUAAUAGCUCACUGGUCGAGUGAUCCUGCGCCGAAGAUUUCCGGGGCUAAAACUUACUACCGAAGCUACGGCAUCAGUAAUGAUGGGUAGGGGAGCUUCCCAUACGGGUUGAAGCAUGACCGUAAGGACAUGUGGACAGUAUGGGAGUGAGAAUGUUGGCAUGAGUAGCGAGAUGUGGGUGAGAAUCCCACAGGCCGUAAACCCAAGGUUUCCAGGGGAAGGUUCGUCCGCCCUGGGUUAGUCGGGACCUAAGCUGAGGCCGAAAGGCGUAGGUGAUGGACAACAGGUUGAUAUUCCUGUACUACCGAUAACCGUUUGAGAGAAGGGAUGACACAGUAGGAUAAGCUAAGCACACUGUUGGUUAUGUGUGCCCAAGCAUUGAGGCAGUCAAAGUAGGCAAAUCCGCUUUGAUAAUGCUGGGAUGUGAUGGGGAGCGAAAUUUAGUAGCGAAGUAGCUGAUUUCACACUGUCAAGAAAAGUCUCUAUCGAGGUUAAAGGUACCCGUACCGCAAACCGACACAGGUGGGUGAGGAGAGUAUCCUAAGGCCAGCGAGAGAACUGUUGUUAAGGAACUCGGCAAAAUGACCCCGUAACUUAGGGAUAAGGGGUGCCACCAUCAGGUGGCCGCAGAGAAUAGGCCCAAGCGACUGUUUACCAAAAACAUAGGUUUCUGCUAAGUCGCAAGACGAUGUAUAGGAGCUGACGCCUGCCCGGUGCUGGAAGGUUAAGGGGAUCUGUUAGAGCAAUCGAAGCAGUGAACUUAAGCCCCAGUAAACGGCGGCCGUAACUAUAACGGUCCUAAGGUAGCGAAAUUCCUUGUCGGGUAAGUUCCGACCCGCACGAAAGGCGUAACGAUUUGGGCACUGUCUCAACAACAGACUCGGUGAAAUUGUAAUUCCGGUGAAGAUGCCGGAUACCUGCGACAGGACGGAAAGACCCCAUGGAGCUUUACUGUAGCUUGACAUUGGGUCUUGGUACUACAUGUACAGGAUAGGUGGGAGGCUUUGAAACCAGGACGCCAGUUUUGGCGGAGCCAUCCUUGGGAUACCACCCUUGUAGUACUGGGACUCUAACCAUAGGCCAUGAAUCUGGUCUUGGGACACUGUCAGGUGGGCAGUUUGACUGGGGCGGUCGCCUCCCAAAAGGUAACGGAGGCGCUCAAAGGUUCUCUCAGUACGGUCGGAAAUCGUACGUAGAGUGUAAAGGCAAAAGAGAGCUUGAUUGCAAGACAUACAGGUCGAGCAAGGAUGAAAAUCGGACUUAGUGAUCCGGUGGUUCUGCGUGGAAGGGCCAUCGCUCAACGGAUAAAAGCUACCCUGGGGAUAACAGGCUUAUCUCCCCCAAGAGUCCACAUCGACGGGGAGGUUUGGCACCUCGAUGUCGGCUCAUCACAUCCUGGGGCUGUAGUAGGUCCCAAGGGUUGGGCUGUUCGCCCAUUAAAGUGGUACGCGAGCUGGGUUCAGAACGUCGUGAGACAGUUCGGUCCCUAUCCGUCGCAGGCGUAGGAAAUUUGAGAAGACCUGUCCUUAGUACGAGAGGACCGGGAUGGACGUACCUCUGGUGUACCAGUUGUCCUGCCAAGGGCAUGGCUGGGUAGCUAUGUACGGAAUGGAUAAGCGCUGAAAGCAUCUAAGCGCGAAGCCAACUUCAAGAUAAGAUUUCCCACCGCAAGGGUAAGACCCCAGAAAGACUAUCUGGUUGA